rnacentral:rRNA from 1 species
UACGUAGGGUCCAAGCGUUAUCCGGAAUUACUGGGCGUAAAGAGUUUCGUAGGUGGCAUAGUAAGUAGAUAGUGAAAGCGUGUGGCUCAACCAUACAUCCAUUAUCUAAACCGCUAAGCUUGAAGAUGAGAGAGGUAGAUGGAAUUCCUAAUGUAGGGGUAAUAUCCGUAGAUAUUAGGAGGAACACCGAUGGCGUAAGCAGUCUACUGGCUCAUUCUUGACACUAAGGCACGAAAGCGUGGGGAGCAAACGGG